rnacentral:lncRNA from 1 species
AUGUCCCCCAGCCCCAACUCCUCCAUCCCUGUCCCCUGUCACUGUCCUGUCCCCAUCCCCGUCACCGCCAUCCUCCUCCCCCAGCCCUGUCCCCUCCAUCGCUGCCCUGUCCUCUCUGUCCCCAUCCUGCCUUGUCCCUCAGCACCAUCCCCAGCUUUGGCACCUCCCUCCUCAUCCUGUCCCCCAUCCCUGUCCCCUCCAUUCUCAUCUUGUCCCCAGCCCUGUUCCCUCAGUCCUUGUCCUGGCUCCAUCCCUGUUCCCAUCCCCAUCACCUCCGUCCUCACCCGGUCCCCGAGCCCCAUCCUGUCCCCAGCCCUGUCCCCACUGUCCUGCUCCUGUCCCUCAUCCCCAUCCUUGUCACCUCCAUCCUCACCCAGUCCCCGAGCCCCAUCCUGUCCCCAGCCCCAGCCCCUCUGUCCUUGCCCUGUCCCUCAGCUCCAUCUCCAUCCUUGUUACCACCAUCUUCACUGUCCCCAUCCCUGUCCCCUCCAUCCUCAUCUGGUCCCACUGGCCCAUCCCUGUCCUCUUGAUCCUUGUCCUGUCCCCAGCCCCAUCCCUGUCCCCUCCAUCCCUGUCCUGUCCCCAGCCCCAGCCCCUCUGUCCUUGCCCUGUCCCCAGGCAUCCCGUGCACCACCACUCACCUCCUCAUCCCCCAACCCCGUCCCCUCCAUCCCUGUCCCGUCCCUCAAACCCAUCCGCUGCCCCUCGCCCCGCGGUUGUCCCCAUGCUGUCCCCAAGCUCCCAGCGCCGUCCCCUCCGUCCCCAGCGCAGCCACACAGGGGACACGGCGUACAAAAACACCCCUCUUUAUUGACGAGGGGCCCCGAAAAGGAGGCUCCCGCCGCAGCGACGCGGCCCCGGGUGGGGGCCAGGGCUCCCGGCGACGCUGCAAGGAAGGGCAGAGCCGUGAGCGCGGGGACGUCCCCGUCCCCGUGUCCCCCCCCCCGUCCCCGGUGUCCCGUCCCCCCCCAAAAGCUCACCUCCGCCGGCGGCCCCGGGACGCCC